UACGGAGGGUGCAAGCGUUAUCCGGAUUCACUGGGUUUAAAGGGUGCGUAGGUGGGCAGGUAAGUCAGUGGUGAAAUCUCCGGGCUUAACCCGGAAACUGCCAUUGAUACUAUCUGUCUUGAAUACCGUGGAGGUGAGCGGAAUAUGUCAUGUAGCGGUGAAAUGCUUAGAUAUGACAUAGAACACCAAUUGCGAAGGCAGCUCACUACACGAAUAUUGACACUGAGGCACGAAAGCGUGGGGAUCAAACAGG
rnacentral:rRNA from 1 species